rnacentral:lncRNA from 1 species
UUUUUUUAUUUCUAUUAUUUAGGGUUUAGGGUUUACUUUUUCCCCCAGUACUCAGCCAAGACCCUUCCUAGCCCUCUAAUUAAUGCCCCCUGAAUUAUAAGACUUUCCCCUCUGGCUCUCAGGCUCUCGGGAACAGGCUCUAUCUCCCAGUCUUGGGUGACUUCUGAGCACUGUUCCCUCUUGUAUUUUGAGUGGGUCUCUCCCAGCCUCAGGUAGUUCCCAGUUGAUGGAUGCUCAGCUGAAUGGUGGAGCAGUUUCCCUUCGCAGAUUCCACUCUGACUCUGCAGCUCUCAUUCCUAUGAAUUCUAGUCUCUAGGGAUUCACCCAGAUUCCCAGCUGUGUCCCCUUAAUUCAGGAAACUCUGGUCUGCCUGAAUCCCCCUACCCCUGUGCCAGGCCUAGAACUUUCUCCAAAGCAGUAUGUCAAGUCAGUCAUAAAACUCACCUUGUUUUUCUUCCCGUCUCUCAGGGAUCACUGCUUAUCGUUGCCUCGUGAGCAAUGUCUUAGGGCCACGUUUUGCUUUUUGCCUUUUGGUGUUAUUUGCGAUGGAGGGGUAAAUCCAGUCUCUGUUACUCCGUCUUAAUCAGAAGCAGAAGUUCCUGUCACCAGCGUUGGCACUGGGAUUCAUCAGGGCUGGCUCCGAGCUGGACUAGGAGGUUUUUCCUCUCUUACGCCAGGUGGCAUACCUGGCCCCAGGGCAGGGCUGAUCCUCCUGUGCUUGCAAGCUCUCAGGCACUGGGCACCGACCAGAGCAAUAGCCAGGAAGAGAAGGUAACCCACGCAGCCCAUGGGAAGUUGAACUGGGUUAUCUUAUUAUAACUGCGUCAACAAAAUGCUGGCUCACUGAGCUUUCCAGUGCCUUCCCCUCCUCCUGCCGUCCCAGCCGGGGUAGCUGACAGGCGCUGACCUCUUCUCCCGUUACCGGCCUCACCUGGCGGGGCUGGAAGGGCUUGGCACCUGCAGCCGCCCAGCUGGCAGCAUUAACUACUAACAAGAACAGUAAGAACUUCCUUUAUUGUACUUAUUUAUCUAUUUAUUUAUUUUGCUUUUUAGGGCCACACCUGUGGCAUAUGGACGUUCCCAGGUAAGUACGGAUAUUAUUCCCAUUUUACAGCUGGGGAAACUGAGAUUCGGAAACGCUGAGUAAUAAGCCCAAAGCCACACAGCCAGCAGAUCUGUCUCCCCAGCCUCUGCUCUGCCCACCAUAGCACUGCCGGCCUCCUCAUUCAUUCAUUCUUUGCUUCAUUCAUUUACUAAGCAUCUAGAGCCUCUCAGCUGGGCCAAGAAAUAGCUGGACCUACGGAAGACAGGGAAGCCUGAGGCCCUGGCCCAAGGAGAUCAUUAUCUGGGGAAAGAUAAGGCUCAAAUAAUUGUAAUCUCAGUGAUGAGAGCCAGGCCCUGAUGUGCCGCUGGGGCUGAGUCAGGUGACUGAGCAAAGGCUACGGGUCAGAGUUUUUGUUUGUUUGUUUGUUUGUUUUUAGUAGAGAGGCUAGAACUCACACCUACUACCUGGGUGAUCUUGGGCCCAUCAUUUCGCUUCUCUGAACCUCAGUUUUGGCUUUUAGAAAAGGGAGGGGAAAAAGACUCAUUGAGUGCUUGAGGGAAUUAAAUUAACUGGAAUAAUAUUGUAUUUCCUCCCUCAACAAAUAUGUACUGCAUCCCAGUGGGUGCCAGGUACCAUUUGGGGUGCUGGGGAUGCUAGAAGAAGCAGACAGCAGUGGUUCCCUGGGAACCACGGAUAGAUUUUUUUUUUCAGUUACAAUUUUUUUUUUUCAAUUGAAGCAUAGCAUGCACACAGAAAAGUGCAAAAAUUGGAACUGCCCAGCCCAAAGAGGUUUCAUAAACCAAACGCACCCAUAUAGCCUGACGACAAAAGAGGUGUGCGAAGUGAGGCUCCUGAGGAGAAUUUAAGGGGCUGCUGAAAAGCUCUGUAUUCAAGACAAAUCAAUGCUUUUAAAGCAACUUUUUUUUAAAAAAAUCAAAAUUUAUGCAAAAAAAAAUCCAUGAUGACAAAACAUCAAAUUUUUAAAUGAAGACAAGCUCAGUAACAGUGCUAUGUUGAGUCACAUUACAGCUCAAGGCAAAAGUUCCCUUUCCUUAUCAGGAAAGUUAAUCGUGCCUCGCCUAGUCCCAGCCCUGAUGCUCAGGCCCCCUCAUGGUCACUACCCUUCCUCUAAGGGUAACUACUAUCCAGAAUUCAAAUCCCAUAGAAAAGCGUUGCCUGUCUUUGGGCUCUGUCUACACGAAAGCCCUCUCCUGUGCAUAUAGCUUCUUUCACGCAACAUGUGUCUGCGAGCCGUAGCCACGUGGUUGCAUAUGCCACAGAAAGAUGUUCCAACAAGGAAACGAUGAUGCAGCGGCUGGGGGUGGCUGGGCGCUUGAGAGAAACCAGCGAGAUGGCAGGUGGGAGGAGGAAUGAGCAGAGCUAGAGCAGGGCCAGUGGGAUGGAGAGAAGGGGCUGGAGCCCAGGGCUGUUUUGGAAAGGGCAGAAUCCACAGGAUUAAGUGGACAUUAGGGAUGAGGGAGAGAGGAGUCAAGGAAGACGCCAGAUCCCUGGCCUGGGCCAGAGGAUGAUGACUUAAAGAUGGCGAGCGCCAGGCCCCAGUGGGGCAUCGCAAGGGCUGUCCUGGAGGUGGCAGGACAGAGGAGCCUGGCACAGGAGACGAUGCGGGACGGAAGUGUUCCUUCAGUAUCCCCCAGGGUCAGGGAGCAGAUGGUGGCCUGCUCCCUGAGGGGCGCCCGUGCAGGGGGCCGGGGAGUGGGGCACGUCGAAGGAUAACGAAGGGAAGCGAAACAGUUCUCUGAGAGAGGGUGGUGUGAACAGGUGUGCAAAUCAGAAUGAAAAUAUUGAACACACAAAACUGUCCCGCCUGGCCCAUCAGGCCUUCCAGGAGUCCAGCACCGAGUUAACCCGCCGGCUGGGAGGAUUCAGGUUGCCGAACAUCCUGCAGAUUAGGGGCUCCCCUGUCCCAGCCCCUGCCAGCCCCCCUUGCCCACUUGCAGCAGCGGCAGCUGACUCAGCAAAGCCUUUUCUCCUGGCUGCCAGAGACGCUUGCCUUUAAAGGCAAAAAAAAAAAAAAAAAAAAAAAA